rnacentral:rRNA from 1 species
AUACACAGCCAUAUCACCCUGCAGCCCAAGACUCACUCAGGUUACUCACUGAAGCUAAGCAGGGCUGAGCCUGGUCAGUACCUGGAUGGGAGACCACUAGGGAACACUAGGUUGCUGUUGGAA